rnacentral:misc_RNA from 1 species
AACGCACGAGACCUGCGGACCUGCGGAGGGAUCAUUAUUGAUUCACAGGAUAGGGGGAUGUGCUGGCGGAAUCUACCUUCUGCACCGUGCACUCCUGCUUCCUUUUACAUCUCUUGCAUUUGACCCUGUGCACCUUUUGUAGGUGGAAGUUCCAAAUUUCCACCUAUGCUUUUUUUUUGUAAACACCAUCUGUUUUCGUAUAAUUUUUGAUAUUGAAAACCUUUGACAACUUUCAACAAC